rnacentral:rRNA from 1 species
UACGGAGGGGGCAAGCGUUAUUCGGAAUUAUUGGGCGUAAAGGGCGCGUAGGCGGCCAUUCAAGUGACGGGUGAAAGCCCUCGGCUUAACCGAGGAACUGCCUGUCAGACUGGAUGGCUUGAGACCGGGAGAGGUGAGUGGAAUUCCCAGUGUAGCGGUGAAAUGCGUAGAUAUUGGGAGGAACACCAGUGGCGAAGGCGGCUCACUGGACCGGAACUGACGCUGAGGCGCGAAAGCGUGGGGAGCAAACAGG